rnacentral:rRNA from 1 species
UAGCGCGAAUGCAGUGAGAAUCUGCAUGGCCGAAAGCCUCAGGUUUCUGGAGGAAGGUUCGUCCGCUCCAGAUUAGUCGGGAGCUAAGGUGAGGCCUAACGGCGUAGCCGAUGCACAGACGGUAGAGAUUCCGUCACCACCAAAAGAGUUAAACACAGGGACACAUUUGAAGUCUCGGAGCCGGGUGUUGGUUCCGGUAGCGAUCGAGGGAAAUUAGUACCGAAGUCCGGGAUGGAAGAUGGCGAGAAAAGCUGUGUGUAUUUCUGCGGUGCCCGUACCGCAAACCGACACAGGUAGGUAGGAAGAAGAUUCUAAGGCCAACGGGAGAAGGGUUGUUAAGGAACUCGGCAAAUUGACCCCGUAACUUCGGGAGAAGGGGUGCUCUAGAGAUAGAGCCGCAGAGAAUCGGCCCAAGCAACUGUUUACCAAAAACACAGGUUUGUGCUAAAUCGAAAGAUGACGUAUACGAGCUGACGCCUGCCCGGUGCUGGAAGGUUGAGAGGAGAUGUGCAAGCAUUGAAUCGAAGCCCCAGUGAACGGCGGCCGUAACUAUAACGGUCCUAAGGUAGCGAAAUUCCUUGUCAGGUAAGUUCUGACCCGCAUGAAAGGCGUAAUGAUUUGGGCACUGUCUCGACAGCCCGCCCGGCGAAAUUGUAGUACCGGUGAAGAUGCCGGUUACCCGCGACAAGACGGAAAGACCCCAUGGAGCUUUACUGUAGCCUAAUAUUGGGUUUCGAUGUUGCAUGCACAGGAUAGAUGGGACACUGGGAAGCAAGAGCUUUGGCUUUUGUGGAGUGGCCGUUGGGAUACCAUCCUUGCGAUAUUGGAAUUCUAACCUGCGCCUUUGAAUCAAGGCGGGGGACAUUGUUAGGUGGGCAGUUUGACUGGGGCGGUCACCUCCUAAAGAGUAACGGAAGCGUUCAAAGGUUCGCUCAGCUUGAACGGAAAUCAAGCAAAAGAGUGCAAACGCAGAAGCGAGCCUAACUGCGAGACUGACGUGUCGAGCAGUAACGAAAGUUGGAGUUAGUGAUCCGGUGGUAUGUGAGUGGAAAUGCCAUCGCUCAACGGAUAAAAGUUACCCUGGGGAUAACAGGCUGAUCUCCCCCAAGAGUCCACAUCGACGGGGAGGUUUGGCACCUCGAUGUCGGCUCAUCGCAUCCUGGGGCUGUAUUCGGUCCCAAGGGUUUGGCUGUUCGCCAAUUAAAGCGGUACGCGAGCUGGGUUCAGAACGUCGUGAGACAGUUCGGUCCCUAUCUGUCGUGGGCGCAGGAUAUUUGAUGGGAGCUGUUCCUAGUACGAGAGGACCGGAGCGGACGUACCUCUGGCGCACCAGUUGUUCUGCCAAGGGCAUAGCUGGGCAACUAUGUACGGAUCGGAUAAACGCUGAAAGCAUCUAAGCGUGAAGCCGACCCAAAGAUAAGAUAUCCCAUUGUUUCAAACAAGUAAGACCCCUUGAAGACUACAAGGUUGAUAGGCAUGAUGUGUAAGUGGAGUGAUCCAUUCAGCAAGCAUGUACUAAUAGGUCGAGGGCUUGACCU